rnacentral:lncRNA from 1 species
CUAAUUUUACCUUUUUUUAACCUAUGACUCUUUAGUUAUAGUAGUACAAAAAAGUAGUUUUAGUUAUAGUUUUAGUUGUAGUACAAAAAAGCAUUUUCUGUAAGCUUAAUUUCUUUCCCCUUCCCGCUUUCCCAGUCAGAUGACUUUAGUGAUUUGGAGUUGUGUGCUUUAUAAGUGCAUUCCUCAGAGGACUUAAUAUUACUAAGAUUUUAGCAAACACUGAAAUAUGUUUAAACACUGUUAUCAAUAUUAAAAUAGCACCGUUUAUUGACUUUAAUAUGUGACAACCACUGUGCUGAGCUAUGUAUGCUUCCCUUAUUCAAUCUAUGUAAAAAUUUUGGGGAAGUAGCUGAGACUUUUUUAUUUCCCUGACAGAGCUGGGAUUCAGUGGUUGGUUUCUUGAAAAAGCUAGGUUCUUUGCCUAACAGCAGCUUAGCUCCUCAAUUUAGGGAAUGAAAGCAGGAAUGAAAAUGGCCAGAGUUUUCGCUCCUCAGCUUGUGGAGGAGCUUGAGUACAUGAACCUCAACUAAGCCCCUAACAUCAAGGGAAGGAAAAUGGAAAGGAGAAUUUUUAGACCUUUAAAGCAGAGAAAUUACUGGUGAAUCAUGUAGCACAACAGGUACCUUUAGCUUUUUCACUGUGAUGCUGUAUGACUUUCUAAGGUAGUCAGCAUAGUUUGUAGUAAAUGAUUCUUAUUACUGGAAGUGUAAGUGGAGUGUUACUCACUAGUUAUUUAAAAAACAUUUAUAAGGCUAUUAAAACAUCAUCUGGAAUUAAAGCAGCAUAAUUUACCCCAUCCCCCACUUUUAACCAUAAAAC